UACGUAGGGUGCAAGCGUUGCUCGGAAUUAUUGGGCGUAAAGAGCUCGUAGGCGGUUCAGUAAGUCAGGUGUGAAAUCUUUGGGCUUAACCCAAAGCGUGCACUUGAUACUGCUGUGACUUGAGUUCGGUAGGGAGUGGGGAAUUCCUAGUGUAGCGGUGAAAUGCGCAGAUAUUAGGAGGAACACCGGUGGCGAAGGCGCCACUCUGGGCCGAAACUGACGCUGAGGAAGCGAAAGCGUGGGUAGCAAACAGG
rnacentral:rRNA from 1 species